UACGAAGGGGGCUAGCGUUGCUCGGAAUCACUGGGCGUAAAGCGCACGUAGGCGGAUUGCUAAGUCAGGGGUGAAAUCCUGGAGCUCAACUCCAGAACUGCCUUUGAUACUGAAGAUCUUGAGUUCGGGAGAGGUGAGUGGAACUGCGAGUGUAGAGGUGAAAUUCGUAGAUAUUCGCAAGAACACCAGUGGCGAAGGCGGCUCACUGGACUGGUAUUGACGCUGAGGUGCGAAAGCGUGGGGAGCAAACAGG
rnacentral:rRNA from 1 species